rnacentral:rRNA from 1 species
GAUGAACGCUAGCGGCAGGCCUAAUACAUGCAAGUCGAACGAGAUUAAGAGGCUUGCUUCUCUGAAAGUGGCGCACGGGUGCGUAACGCGUAUGCAACCUACCUUAAUCAGGGGGAUAGCCCGAAGAAAUUCGGAUUAAGACCGCAUAAAAACACAGGAUAGCAUUAUCCAAUGUUCAAAUAUUUAUAGGAUUACGAUGGGCAUGCGUGUCAUUAGCUAGUUGGCGUGGUAACGGCCCACCAAGGCGACGAUGACUAGGGGAUCUGAGAGGAUGACCCCCCACACUGGUACUGAGACACGGAACAGACUCCUACGGGAGGAAGCAGUAAGGAAUAUUGGGCAAUGGAGGGAACUCUGAACCAGCCAUGCCGCGUGCAGGAAGACAGCCAUCGGGGUCGUAAACUGCUUUUAUUCGGGAAUAAACCAUUCUACGUGGAGGAAGCUGAAUGUACCGAAGGAAUAAGUAUCGGCUAACUCCGUG